AUGGGCUGCCUCCCCAUCGAGCGGGGCCGCCGGGUCAUGCUCUGCAUCGAGGAGUACAAUGUCGCCGCGAGGUCGUUCAACACCAAGCUCCGCGCCAUGGUCGACAAGCUCACCGGCAGCCUUCCCGGCGCACAGUUCUGGGUCGCCGAGGUGUAUGACUUCUUCACCGGUAUUCUGCAAAACCCGUUGAGGUACGGGUUCGUGAAGACGUCCAGGGGUUGUUGUGGCACGGGGUUGUAUGAGAUGGGUUACACGUGCAGCGAGUGGGAUGCGCUCACGUGCGCCGAUGCAAACCGGUACGUUUUCUGGGACGCCGUGCACCCGACGGAGCGGGCCAACCAGAUCAUCGCCGAGUACCUCAUGAACACAACCUUCAGCCAUUUCUUGUGA
rnacentral:rRNA from 1 species